rnacentral:rRNA from 1 species
UACGUAGGGUGCGAGCGUUAAUCGGAAUUACUGGGCGUAAAGUGUGCGCAGGCGGCACCGCAAGUCGAGUGUGAAAGCCCCGGGCUUAACUUGGGAAUUGCGCUCGAAACUAUGGUGCUGGAGUAUGGCAGAGGAAGGUGGAAUUCCACGUGUAGCGGUGAAAUGCGUAGAUAUCUGGAGGAACACCGGUGGCGAAGGCGGCAUCCUGGACCGGCAUUGACGCUGAGGCGCGAAAGCUAGGGGAGCAAACGGG